AGCCCGAUAGUCUAGUGGUCAAGGAUUCUGCCCUCUGGAGGCGGAGACGGCAGUUCGAAUCUGCCUCGGGCUA
rnacentral:tRNA from 6 species